rnacentral:rRNA from 1 species
UAGAGAGAGACAUGCGCGCAUAUCAAUAAGCGGAGGAAAAGAAACUAACAAGGAUUCCCUUAGUAACGGCGAGUGAAGCGGGAAGAGCUCAAAUUUGAAAUCUUCAAGGUUUUACCUUGACGAAUUGUAGUUUAAAGAAGUGUUUUCUGCUGAAGUUUUGGUAAAAGUUCUUUGGAAUAGGACAUCAUAGAGGGUGAGAAUCCCGUAUUUGACCAUUAUUUUCAGCUUUGUGAUACACUUUCAAAGAGUCGGAUUGUUUGGGAAUGCAGUCCAAAAUGGGUGGUAAAUUUCAUCUAAAGCUAAAUAUUGGCGAGAGACCGAUAGCGAACAAGUACCGUGAGGGAAAGAUGAAAAGAACUUUGAGAAGAGAGUUAAACAGUACGUGAAAUUGUCAAAAGGGAAGCGUUUGACACCAGUGUUGUUUCUCUCGAAAAUCAAUUAAAAAUGGCUCGAUUUUGUAUUGCUGAGACCUUAAAAGCUCACUGUACAUUUUUCGUGUCUUUUUUAAUGCACUUUUCGUUUAACAAGUCAACAUCAGUUUCUUUUGUUGUAAAAGGGUCAUUGGAAGGUGGCUUUCUUUUCGGAGAGAAGUGUUUAUAGCCUUUGGCCUCUGCAAUCGAAGAGACUGAGGUCUGCAGCGUAGACUCUUCGGGGUUAGAUACAUUUGUGCUAAGUUAUAGCUUUUUAUAGACAACUUGUUGACUAUAAUUAGUCUUGUAGCUUACUCGCUUAUGCUAUUUUACCUACGCUUAGGAUGUUGAAGAUGUAGCACAUCAU